rnacentral:pre_miRNA from 1 species
GAUCCAAAGCCUGUUUAAGUCAGUGGACUGAUUCCCAAUGACUUUAAUGGGCUUUGGAUCAC